AGGAAGUCACCAUUGUUAAGUUAUGUAUAUAGUACCGCAGGGGUAUUACUGUCAAACCCUGCAGUAUCCUGUUAUGUUUUGGUUAUCUUUAGUUUUCAUUGUAUUGUUUAGUUAGUCUUCUAGUGCCACAAGGACUGAAGAGUCUUCUAGUCCUUGCAGUAUUGUGAUUAGUCAACAUUCACUAUUAUAUAAUGUUGAUGAGGGGACUGCCGCAGGUAUGGACUGUCUCUCUCUCUCUCUUGCGGCAGUCUCCUCUCUCUUUUCUUCCUCAAUUCUUCUUCUCCUCUCUUCUGGUAGAUUGUUAGUACUGGUUUUCUGUUUCAGAUAUUAU